rnacentral:rRNA from 1 species
AUACAGAGGGUGCGAGCGUUAAUCGGAAUUACUGGGCGUAAAGCGCGCGUAGGCGGCUUGGUCAGUCGGAUGUGAAAGCCCUGGGCUUAACCUGGGAAUUGCAUUCGAUACUGCCAGGCUGGAAUGUAGUAGAGGGUAGUGGAAUUCCGGGUGUAGCGGUGAAAUGCGUAGAUAUCCGGAGGAACAUCAGUGGCGAAGGCGACUACCUGGACUAACAUUGACGCUGAGGUGCGAAAGCGUGGGGAGCAAACAGGAUUAGAAACCCCGGUAGUCC